GAGAAACUUAAAGAGAUACAAAGAAACAGACCAGUGUAGAUCACAACAGAUGCUUGUCAGAGAGGCAUGCUUCCCUCACAGAAAUCCAAAUGACUUAAGUUACUAGAAAGAUAUCACCUGGGAAUUCUUAUUUCUGUAAGAAAUGGUAACAGCAGUUUUUAUUCUGGUUCUCAACUGGUGGCGGAGGUUGUCCCCCAGGAGACGCUUGGUGGCAUCUGGUGGAAGGCUGCUACUGACAUCUAGUGGAUAGAGGGCAAACAUUCUAGUGUGCGUGGAACAACACUAAGGCUCCAAUGACUGUGGAGUGAAGGAUGAGAAAUUCUGCCUUUAGUCAAGCUCCAUCACGAAGCCGCAGAGCACAGGAUGCAUCCGGCCCCUCCCACAGCCACAGAGGGCCUUUGCUGCAAUGGUACACGCUCUGCUGAGGGCAGCUGUUAGAUCGACCCCAGAAAAUUCACUGUCAAGGCUGAGACCACAGUCAUCUUUCCAGGACUGUCCUUGGGAGACCCUUCUGUCUGGUCUUAGUUCCAAAGAUAGCUAGCUCUCUCUCCUCUUUAUUUUAAAUCACGGACACUGUUAGCUCUGGAAUGGACUAUACUGUCCUUUUGGAGUUGGCUAUUAAACAAGUGUGAGCCAAAUUUGGGACCCACACAUACGAAGGUCUUAGGAUGUUUUUUAGUUUUCUUCCUGACUCCAUUUUAUAUCACUACCUUAAAAAAUGAUUUUCUUUCUCUUUUGUUUCUAUCAUUAGAUCUUUGCCAUAUUGCUCUUUUGUAUAAUAUGUUGCACUUAUGGACUGUGUAAGUAAAUGUAAAUAGUGAGGGUGGGAGCUGUGGCUUGGAAGUGGGCAGAGUCUGGCAGAACUCUGUGUGUGUGUGUGUGUGUGUGUGUGUGUGUGUGUGUGUGUGGUGGCAGGUGGGGGGUGAGGACUGUCUCUGGAAUUAAUAACCUCUCCACAGCCCUAUUCUCUCCAGCUCCCAGAGCCUGGUUGCUGGCUGCAAGGCAGAUGUGAGAGAACAAGUAGGUGUUUAGAGGCUUUGUAGGACAACGGUCUCCUGAUGUUGUAAGGAUCUGGGUGUUCAGAGGACAAGCAACAGAUGUGGGCUCAGAUCUAGUGAGAAAAGAGAGAACCCGAAUGUAAUCAGGGUAGAGUACAUUAUCAGGGAGUAUCCUGUACUGGGAUCUAGGUAUUUGGCCUCUGGAUUCAAGUCUCAGUUCCAUCUAUAUGGACCACACACCACACAGCUUUGCAGUCACUUGGCUCUUAGUUUUCUUACCACUGAAAAAAGGCAGUAAUAAAUGCCUUCAAGGCCCAACACCAGGCAGACUUGAGAACCAAACUGGGUGUUACUCGGAUGCUCCUCUGCUCAUUGCUGAACAGCAAACUUUUCCCUUUUUUAAGUGUUGAGGGACAAAAAUAAUUAUGAAGUUACUGUGGCUGUAAUUACUGCUGCUCUGUGCAGAGAUGCCCUCAUUUACAGCAGGUAAUUACUGCUGCAGAGGCCCUGGGGGCUAUGAGGCUGGGGAACAGGCCUAAAGGAGACAGGAAGCUGAGGGUGACCUCAGGGAAUUAAUUAAAACUUAACUUAGCAGUUUGAGGGAGAAAGUAUUUGCUAAUCGUUAAGUUGCAUCUGGUUGGAGGCAAGUUAGGAGUAAAUAAGAUCUGGGGUGGAGAGGCGGGUGGAGAGGCUAGUGGUUCUCUCAGGAGCUCUUAUUAGACAGUAAAUGAGAACUUCACUCAACAUUUUCAUUAACAAACAAACAAACAAACAAACAAACAAAAAAACCAAGCCAACCCACCUCAGCCCAGGAGAGGCAGGAAGGGACCUAGGGUCAACGCCUUUUCCAGUUGUGUGUGAGUGUCAUGAUCUCUUGGGAAAAGUCCAGCACAACAGCACUAUUUUAGACUCAAGAGGUCAUUUGUGAGGGAAGUUUCAGCUUCUGAAUCAUGUUUACUGAAGUAUGAACUUAUGUGCAGUAAGAUUGUAACUUAACAGUAUAAAGUUUGACAAAUGCAUAGUCAUGUAACCAUAACCAAUAUGUAUCCUCCACAAUCCCUCCCCCUUACAAUUAACCCUUUCCUGAUCUGUUAAAAUCAGAGAUCUGCUUUCUGUCAAAACAGUCACAUUCCAUCACUAAAUGGUUUCUUGUAGGAAAUUGUGGAUGGAUAUAAAGUAAUCCCAAAUUAAGUUGUGAAAGUCAGAUAAAUUUAAAUAAGUUUUCUUUAGCAUGCCAAUGAAAUAAAG
rnacentral:lncRNA from 1 species